AUUAUAAAAAAAAAUUAAAGUUAUGCUUAUAGCUUAAUUGGAUAAAGCGUUAGAUUGCGGAUCUAUAAAAUGAA
rnacentral:tRNA from 1 species